CUUCACUCGUCCAGUCCCCGCAGAGGCUCUGCUUAAGGCACCCUUGUCAGUUCCUAGUUCUUGCGGCGGUUAAUACUUGAAUACGUUACAGCCAGUUUUCCUCUGUCCUGGAAAUUAAUCUCUUCUGUUUCUUUCCCUCCCUCCCUCUCUCUCCUCCUCCUUCCCUCUCACUAUUCCUGGGAUUAUUUCUUUUGGAAACAAUUCCCUGUGCACUCUGCCUCCAUAAAUCUCUGAAUCCUGGCACAUGGAACAAGCCUGUAUUACAAGGGAACAGAAUCAACAGGCAACUGGGAGGCAAACUUCUACCCUCUGCAGUUUCGCCCCAGUAGGAGGACCAGGUAACGCCUCCCGGACAAAAGCUGCAUCGCUGCAGAGAAAGGUCAGGAGGCCUGUCAGAGGAGAUGCCAUUUCAGCCUGGAUGGAGAGAAGGGAGACGUGAGCCAUGCAGAUAAAUGAUGGAAGUGUUCUCUGCCAGAAGAAAGGACCAGUAAAGGCUCUGAAAUGGGAGAGCUGGAAACCAGUAAAUCGACAGCAUCUCGUACACGUGGAGUCACAGAGUCCCUGUCGGCACCUGAAGCUCACUGGAAUGGUACAAGCCCAUUUUUAGCCACCGAAAAUUAAACUACAGCAGCUUGGCGGGAAGCAGGAAUUAGACAAGAGAACUGACUGAAACCCGCCCUCCAAAUGGGAAGAAAAACUACCAAUAACGAACUGUGAGGUUUGAAAUCACUGUGCAUUAUACUAUCCAUUAUUCAGACGGCUUCCAGCCUCGCUACCUGGCACCUUCUCCUGCUCUGCGCUGCCUGCAGAAACGCACUACAGGAAGGCUGAGCCGGCCUUUCAGAGGAAAGGACGCUUCUUUAUCUUCCCAUUCUGCCUCUCCCUUCUAUCUGUGUUCUGUCUCUCUGUUGCUAUCUGCAUGUGUUGCAAUCCCCUCCAGUGUUCCAAAGGCCAACGAAAUAGUCCCCUGUCAGGGUACUCAGCCAAGCACAUUCACUGCUCAACUGUGUUUUUCUCAGCCCUUUCACCCACUGAUUUCAAAUUUCUCUUUCAAGAGGCCAGCGAUGGCAGACCUCAACUGAAUCAGUUACAAAGAGGCGAGCUGGGAAACCACACCCUCGAGAUUACUUGGAGAGGAGAGCAGCCUGACGCUCUUCAUCUAAAUCCCUAGUCCUCACUCCAGCCUACAAGACGGCAGGAAACUCGCAGCCAUAAGCGAAUGAGCUCAGCUGGCCUCGAACGGGUUCUUUUAAAAAGUGUGUGUGUGUGUGUGUGUGUGUGUGUGUGUGGAGGGGGAGGAACAGAGGCACUCUGCCCGGGAGAACCUGGAGAGAAAGAAAUCCUCUCUCCUAACACUGUCUGAAGUUUGCUGCCAGGGAUUCAGUACAUACCUGACCAAAAAAAGAAAGUGCCCUACCUAACUGGUUUGACUGUUUCCUGGCUACUACCUGGAGAAGUAAACAGAACCUUAUCAUUCUCAGGGACAUCUGACUUGGACAUUUUUCCCCCCCAAGUAAAUAUUUGUAAUUUCAAUGCUCUUCCACUGCUGCCAACUGCUGUCUUUGAACUGGAUCGACUGACAGUUCUGUCUCAGAGGAAGCGAGCUCCAUAGCAACGAGCCAGGGAAGCCUGCGCCUUCCACCAGGCUGCCUCUGCGGCCACUGGGUGGGACUGGGGGGUGCGUGGUGACCCGGGACUCUGCACUUAUCUCGUCAGACUGGAGCUGGACCAAGAGGUUCUUCCUGUGCCCCCCGGGCCCCUCCAGUCAGGCAGGAUUUCUGUUGAUUGCUUUGCACUUCUCAAUGAAUCCAACACUCGGGGCAUUUUUCUCUCUUGAUUCAGGAAGUGGGGAGCUGAGCUCUGAGAGUCUUUCUGCUCCGAUGAUAUAAACAAAUUGUAGAGGAAGUCAAGUCAAACUUUCCCUUGCUGCUUUUGUUCUCCCAACCAGCGAUUCAGAAAACAGAGCCAACGGUUUUUUUUUUUUUUUUUUUUUUUGGAUGACUUUUAAAGAUUGCUCUUAACUGGAAAGGCAGAAACUCUCUUUAAAAAAAAAAAAACAACAAGAUACUCAACUUACUGUUUUCAAAAAAGAAAUGCCCUAGAAGGUUUGGGUUUUCUAUUUUUUUUUUUUUAAAUAAGGCUGUUUGUGAGACUUUUCAAACCAAAUGUCUCCCUUGACAUUGCAGUUACCUAAUGGUUGUUCUUUCCUUCAAACUUCAACCAAAAGAGCAUUAAUGAGCUUUGUGUGGACAAUGGCCAGACUUGAUUAGAGGCCCUUGGUGCCAUAAUUCACAGCCAAGGAGAGCUAACAGUCAUGAUUCAAUCAGAGUGCCCAUACAAGGCAUACAGCAGACAGAAACGAGACAACUUAUUUGCAGCAGCAGCAGAUACUGCUGGGAAAAAAUCACACAUAAUAAGCCCUUCUUGCCGUGGAAGCUACUUGAAGGCCUUAUCACCAGCUUGUAAGAUGUCAUCUCUGGGUCUCACUCAUGGUUCUGAGAAAGACCAUUUCCAAACCAGAGACCCCUGACAACCCCAGGCGAACGCUUACCACCCCUGUCCUAGUCAUCUAGUGAAAGAAGCUCCACGCUGCGUUAGCGAAGGGAGGCCGGAUGGUGGGGAGAUGCACCAACAUCUGCGGGGGGCCUCCCGCACUGGUGUUCUGGCAUGUGAAUCCUGGUGCAAGAAAUAAGACGUGACGUCACGUGGGGAUCUACACGCCACCCUUGCUCGUCCUUGGCUGGCGCGCCAUGUACACAGGCAGAUAGUCAACUCUCAGAAACAGCCUGGUUUUCUAGUGAAGCAUGCUAAGCUCAAACACAGGCUCACACUCCGGACUGCAUCUCUGCAUUCCCUCUGUACCGCGGGGACACAGCGUGACACGCAGUGCUGUCAUGGGUUAAAAGUAGCACAGCGACAUCUCACCCCAGCGCGCGGCGUGUGCUAGACUCUCAGUGAAAGGUCGGUAUUGUUCGCCUGGGUCAGGAAAAACCAGCAUCGGUAGAAUCUAAAUUUGGACUGUAUUUACAAAGUUACUUCUAUUAAUAUGUCAGAACAUGUUUGUUUAACCAUGAUUGUCCCUGCCCUCCUUAUCUACAAUACAUUAUAUACUGUAGCUACUCACAGACCAAUAGGUAGAUAAAAUCAGUUAUGCAAGUUGUAAUUGUGCAAUUACUGAAUAAAGAAAGGAUGAAAGGAAAAUGUAAAGUUCUGAAAGCUGGCUUGAGUUCCCGUUUUAUCUUAUAUUCAUUAAA